rnacentral:rRNA from 1 species
GUGGGGAAUCUUAGACAAUGGGCGCAAGCCUGAUCUAGCCAUGCCGCGUGAUCGAUGAAGGCCUUAGGGUUGUAAAGAUCUUUCAGUGGGGAAGAUAAUGACUGUACCCACAGAAGAAGCCCCGGCUAACUCCGUGCCAGCAGCCGCGGUAAUACGGAGGGGGCUAGCGUUGUUCGGAAUUACUGGGCGUAAAGCGCACGUAGGCGGAACAGAAAGUCAGAGGUGAAAUCCCAGGGCUCAACCUUGGAACUGCCUUUGACACUCCUGUUCUUGAGUUCGAGAGAGGGGAGUGGAAGUCCGAGUGUAGAGGUGAAAUUCGUAGAUAUUCGGAGGAACACCAGUGGCGAAGGCGGCUCACUGGCUCGAUACUGACGCUGAGGUGCGAAAGCGUGGGGAGCAAACAGGAUUAGAAACCCUGGUAGUCC